GUCGUCGUCAUCGUCGCCGCCUCCACCGCCGUGGUGUUCUAGUGCUGGUACAAAGUGCUCGUAACUGGGCGGCUUGUCGAAACCUGCGCAGAAAACGGGUCGUGUAAAUUAUUACAAUAUUGAAUUACCUAUAGAGUAGGUAUAUACUUACGCUCAUCGACACAUCUACACGAGAAACUGCCUCAAAAAACAGACUUGGAACAUUACCCGUGGCCAACGAGUACGUGAUCGCCCAUGUGAUGCCCUUGGCCACGUUGACGAGCAGCGGUUCGAUGAUGGCGCCCACGAGCGGCGCUAGCACUUUUCCAAUGAUCAGUAUCAGGUGGACGACCGAUAGUUU